CUUUAACCAAAAUACCAAAAAUCCUUCAACAAUUAUUAUUUUUAAUUAAUAUAAAAUGUUAGGAAUUAGUUGUUAAAAUUACAUUAUACAAUACCUUAGGUGUUAAAAAUACAAAAUAAAAAAUAAAUAUUUUGCUAAAAUUAAAGCCUUAUAAUGAUUAAAAUUUAACUCGAUAAGGUAUAGACUUCCUCACAAAUAGAGAUCUACCUCAAAUCAUAGACGAGACCAAAAAAAAGAACAUGAUUUAAAAUAAAAAUCAAUCAACAAUGCAGCUUACCUUAGAUAGAGUGCACCAUAGGUGAUGCAUCAUCCUCUUGCAAAACUAGUCCUCAUGCCUAAGCUCUCGCAAACCAUAGAUUUUUUAGUGACCAUGAUAACUAGGUAGUGACUCUCUCUAAUCAUAACUUUAUGAUUGAACCCCAGACACCCUUCAUUCAAAGAGAUAGUUUUACCAUUCGUUGUCGUGCACAUCACGACAUCUAUAAUCAAGAUACUCUUUCAAAUAAAUAAAUCCUCUUAGUCAAUGAAAUUGUCAGGUUGCAUUUUCCCCUCAAAUUCAAGAAUAUCAACUCUCACAUUAGAAUCUUGUAAAGGUAUUAUAUUCUUUCUUCUUUGAUGCUAAAAAGAAAAAUUGCCAGUAGCAUCAUGAUGUGAUCUAUGAUAGAAAGAAUUAUCUUCCUCAUUAUUGCAAGAGGAACCAAUUUCAGUGUUAUUCUCAUUAUUAUCAUAAUCUCAAUUGUCAUAUCAUUCAAGAUAAUCUUGGAGUUGUUGGAUUUGUCUUCUCAUUUCAUCAAUUUAAAGAGCAUAAAUGUCCCUCUUGAAUUCUCACACGUGAUGUCCAUGAACAACCAUGAUUGUAAAUCCUAAGUUCUCAUACCAAUUUGAUAUCGAAAUGGUAUGGAUAUGAAAAGGUAACAUUUCAUACACAUAAUUGAUAAUGUUUCACUCACGACUCUAAAAUAUAAAACCUAAGAGAUAUAGAAAUGAAUAAACCAUCACUCUAAAAAUACAAAUCACUCACUAGUUUAGAUAUACAAAGUUAAGGUAGAAGUCCACCACUCACAAAGGAUAUCCAUAACUUGAUAGAUUGCCAAAAGAACAUGUUAAAGACUCAAUUUAAAUUUUACCAAAAGAUCUAAAUACAUAAUUUGAUUGAAGAACACUCUUCAAGUAUAGGAAAACACCAAAAUAACAUAAUUAAGACCUAAAAAAAUGAUUGUCAGAAAACUAGACAUUAUAAUUAUCAUGUUUUUAACUCAUAAGAAACACAAACAAACACUUGGAAUGCUUAAAAAAUAAAAUAGACAUAACUUCUUGUAGAAAACUUCAAUGCAUAUAUGGUUGUACAAUCUAAAAAGACCACAUUCUGAACUAGAAAGCUACACUGGAUAAGAUUAUUUUACCAAGCAAUAAAGACAAACAAAUUCAAGCUCAAAUUUGGUUCAUGGGUUAACUAUAAACAGUAGCAAAAAUUUCACUCAUUUGAAUUGUCAACCCAAACUCAAGUAGCGAAACAUCAAUAGAACCAUUAGAGGAUGCUCCUACAUCACCAAGUGUCAAUAGGAUUCUCAUGGUUUCUCCUCCUAUUUAAAACAAGUUUAUCACACCAAAUUAUCGUAUAAUCAAUAAAUUCAAUGACAACAAGCUUUAAAUUUUUCUCCUUCGAAUAUUGGUGGCAAUCAAAGAUCAACUCAACCUUUUUCUCUCACCUAAAUAGGCAUCACGAUCAUUCCUCCUUUGAAAUGCUAGAAUUUUUAACUUAGCACUUCCAAAAAUUCUCUCUAAGCCAUCACUAUACUCAAUCUCUUACCACUCUUUUAUGGCUGAAAUCCCUCAUCUCUUUGAUUUCUAUACUUGCUAAAAUCCAUCACUUUGGUGUAUUGAUGCAUGGUCAAAAUCAAUUCUGGCUUUUCACAAUAAUAUACACACCUUUUCAGUUCUUUAAGGAGGAAAUAAUAACAAACAAUAAAAAAAUCACAGCCUCAUAACGAUCAACCAAAGAUUUUGGAACUCAAAACAAUCAUGAAAAACAAAAAAGACAACAAUACAAAUUUACGACAACGAAAAUGAUAGCAAAAAUAAAAACAAUGAAUAUGUCAACAAACACAAAAACCAAAACGAAAACGAAAACAUAUGCAAGAAAGACUAAUAACUCAAAACCACAAUAGAUUAUACUGACCUGAAACUAACAACAACAACAACAACAACAACAACAAAUAAACAUAAUUAAUUGACAAUGCAAACUAAUUUCAGUAAACAAUGAUUUGUAAUUUUCACAAAUACCCCUGCCCCAUGUAUACUCAACUAAUCCUAAAAUCAAUGACAAAUAACAAAUUCAAGCUGGUAUGUAAGCAAACUAAUUUUGGUAGAAGGCUAACUUGCCAAUUUAUUAAGAAUCAUAACUUUCAAUUUUUAUGACAAAAUUAACAUGAGUUCAACUUUUUUUUGUACUAUAUUGAUUCUUAUUCGACAAUAGCCUUUUUGAACAAAAACCUUUUUUUUUCUUUUUUUUUAUACUUUUGCCACAAGAAUUAAGAUUGAAAAUUACAAACAAAUAACACGGAUAAUUUAAAGAUAGAUAGAACUUGAUUUUAAAGCCCUAUGCUUAUAUACCAACUAAUGCGAGCAAGAACCUUUGAACCCACAAACAAGAUAUAAAUAAUUUAAGAAAGCUAAAAUCAGAUUCAUAAAAACCUAAUCAAACGAUUACUUGAACCAAGAAAUCAAAGAUAUUUGGCGAAAAAGAACUCCAACCCUAUGAUUAUAAUGAAUCACAAACUGGAAGUAUAGGAAGAGCAUCACAAAGACAGAUGAUCUUUUAUAAGUCCAAGAAAUGUUCGAUGAAGAACCUACAUUAUGAGCAACUCAUAAACUCUCUAAAAAAAUCUUAAAUACAAGCUAAAUAACCUUGUUUAUAAUAGGUAAAAAAAUCCUAUAUAAAGAUUGAAAAUUAAUAAAAGAGUAUUAAUUCAAAUAAGAACAAGAAUCAUAAACCAACUAGAAAAAUAAUGUAAAUCCUGCACAAUAGCUUUUGAACCUUAUCACAAGGCCUUCACAAUGUUUGAUUGCUAUAAAAUUUUAACCCUAUAGAAAACAAGCCUUUAGAAUAUUCUGGAAAGCUUUCAUCAUGAUCCAAAGGCUUGAUAAAAAAAUUAUUCUUGUUAGCGUAAAACUAUGCAUUAGAAAAAAUAAAGCCCAAAACCAACUUAAACUUGUCCAACUCUUGAAGGAACCUGUAUAACAUGAGAAAACCAAGCCCAAACCGCCUUUCCUUAUCAUUAUUGCUUCACCAACUCCUUUUCUUGUUUGGAUUUACAUUAAUUAGAGUAUGAUCACCCCUUGUUAAAGUCUAAAAGCUUGAGUUGGCCCAAAUAUCCUAAAUAAGCCUAUUGGAUGUCUUUUUAAUUUUCUUGGUCAUUGACCUUGUAAUAAGCCUAAUUGGCACCUUUAUUAGAUCAUGUAUUGCUGCUUGAUGAUUCUUAUUACUAUAUUAAUUUCUUUUUUAAUUGGGAGGUAUAGUGAUGAAGUAUUUUUUCAUGUUGUUCCCAUGCAUACAGGUCACAUACAAUUAGGAAGAUUGUGGUAGUUUGAUAGAAAGCUUAUUUAUGAUGAGUUCUAGAAUAGGUACUCUUUGGUAAAUGAUAAUAAAAUAAUUACCCUUAUAUCUUUAACCCCAAAACAAGUAUAUGAAGAUCAAUUGAAAUUAAAAGAAGAGACUGAGGCCAAGAGGAGUGAAAAGAAAGAGGUGACUGAGAGGAGAGAAAAGAGAUAAGCCACAUGAGAAGAAAGAAAAAGAGGUUGUUGAGAGAAAAAUAUAGAAGCAAGUGAGUUUUUAUGCAAAAGAGUGCUUUUUAUACUAAUUAGCCUAUGUUUGUACUUUUCUACCAAAAGACAUGUUUUAAUACUAAAAAUCUUGAUCAAUCUCUCCUAGUAUUGCUAUUUCUUUGUUAUGUGUAUACGAGGAUAUAUUUCAUGAUGAUGUUCCUAAUGGUUUAGAUCCAUUUAUGGAAAUAAAACAUCAAAUUAAUCUCGUGUCUAAAGCUGCAAUUUCUAAUCGACCAACCUAUAGAAGAAGUUUGGAGAAUACAAAUGAGCUUCAAAUACAAGUUAAGGACUUGAUGGCUAAGGGGUACAUAAGGAAGAGCAUGAAUCCAUAUGCGGUAACAGUUUUUCUUAUGCCGAAAAAAGAUGGGUCUUGGAUGAUGUAUGGAUUGCUGGGCUAUAACCAACAUUACAAAAAAGUAUUAACAUCUACUUCUUAGGUUGGAUGACAUGUUAUAUGAAUUAUAUGGUUCAUGUAUCUUUCUGAAAAUUAAUUUAAAAGUGGUAAUCAUCAUCAAAUUAGAAUGAAAGAAUGAGAUAAAUGAAAAAUUGCCUUUAAAACUAAAUAUGAGUUAUAUAAGUGGUUGAUUGUGUCAUUACUAAUGCACCAAACACAUUUAUAAGAUUGAUAAAUCAUGCAACAAGCACAUUUAUAGGAAGAUUUAUUGCAAUCUAUUUUGAUGAUACCUUGGUAUACAUUGAAAGCUUAGAGGAACAUAUUAACCAUUUGUGUUGUGUGCUUGAUGUUUUGAGGAAUGAAAAAUUGUAAGCAAACUUAAAAAAAUAUACUUUUUCCAUGGAUAAAGUUGUUUUUCUUGGCUACAUUAUUAGUGCAAAAGGUAUAAAGAUAGUGAAGAAACUCCAUAAAAGUGUUCAACAUCAAAUACAAAAGAAGAAUGAAUAAUAUGCAUUUACAGCAAACAAGGAUUGUAGGCGUGUUAUCUUUGAAUCUAGUGAUUGAGUUUGGGUGUGCAUAUAAGAAAGAAAAGAUUUUCAACCCAUAGGCAAUCUAAGUUGCAGCUUAGAAAGAAUAGUCCAUUCCAAGUCCUUGAACAAAUUAACAACAAUGUAUAUAAAUUGGCACUUCCAAGCGAGCAUAAUGUUAAUGCUACAUUUAAUAUUUAUGAUCUCUCUUUUUAAUGUAUAUGAUGAUUCAAAGUCAAAUCAUUAUGACAAGGGAAAUGAUAAGAAUCAAUAAGCAACACUACAAAAUCCAUUGUUGAUUUGACUAAUUACAUGUAUAAGAGCAAGAGGAUCAAAAGGUUUUCAAUGUGUUGAUUUAUGACAUUCAGGUCAAGCAAGCUUCGAGAAUUCCUUCUAAAAUGGCGUAAGCAUAAAGUUAAGUUCAAAGAAGAAUCAAGCCUUGAUCAAUGUGAUCCAAGUAAGAGAUGAGAAUGAUUAGCAUGUACUAGAGCUUGGCUACACUACUUUAUAUUAACAGUCAUGACUUAUAAUCCAACCGUUAAAACUGAAAUUUUGCUAGAUUUUAAAGGUUCUUUUUCUUAUAGGGUUAAAAUUUCAUAGCAAUUAAUCAUUAAUAAAACCCUCCAAUAAAACCCAGAAGUUACUACAUAGAUUAAGAUUUUAUUUAUACAACACUUGGACUUUAUAUUUUAUUUUACCCAAACUUUUAAGUUAGCAUUUGUGUUUAACUUUCAAUCAAUAGUUGUUUAGGGUUUAUUUUUUAUUAAGUCAAAUUUUAGAAUGUGAAGACAAAUUGGUUUUUGAAUAAAAAUUUAUAAGCACUUUAUUUUGAUUCUUCAUUGAACUUUUCAAAAUUAUCAUGGAGAUCAUCUUUGUGGCGUUUUAGCCAUAUUCUUUCGUUUCUUGAUUCAAAUAAUCAACGAGUCACAUUUUAACUUUUUUGGGUAAGUAUCUCAAUUCUUAAUUAUGGGUUCUAAGGAUUUUGCCCUCUAGGUUGGCACAAGUUUCUAUCCCUCUUAUCUUCUAUCCCGAGACUGAUAACCCAACACUACCUCAAAGUUUCUUACUAUAAUUUGUGAAAUCUUAUCAAACAUGAGAAUGGUGCAGGUAACAUGUUUGACAUCUAUCACUACCCUUCAUCCUCUUCUUGAACUGCCUUUCAUAUAAUAAAAAUAAUGGAUUCUACAAUUGAAUUUCACUUGAGCUGCUGAGGCUAUAAAUGAUUAAAUUUUGUUAUGCUUCCCACAAAAUGCGAUGACAGGUGAUAUAAUGAUAACAGUUGUUUCAUAUCUCAACCAGCAGGGCAAGUAAAUAGAACCAUCAUCCAUAUGAUGGUAAAAGCACAAAGGACAGCCGUUCUGAAUUCAGAAAUCUUAAAAACAAACAAAUAAAUAAAUAAAAAAAAUCCUUCAUUAACCAUUGACGCAUAACAAAGGUCAAAACAUUAAAUUUAGUGUUUUACUGUGCAUGAGUAAUUAUAGUUUUAAGAUAUUACAAAUAUUCAUGGCUAAAUGGACCCCCCCCGUACAGUGAUACAUCAAUAACAAGUAGACCACCUUUAUUGAGGAAGAGAGAGAUUGAAGAUGUGCUUCAAAUCAUGUUAAAAAAAAUAUGCCUAAAAUAGUGAAUAUAAUGUAAAGCUCAUAUUGAUCCAGACCUUAAGAUAGUUCUACAGGAAUUCUCAGACCAUCGCGCGCCAGCUGCACUGGUAUUCCUUCCCUGCAUGGAAACAAUUAUAAGUUCAAAUUCUUUAAUUUAUUGUAAACACAAGAAUAGGGUAAUUGUCUGAUCACGUGAAGCAAAAUUUAUACCUUUGAGACCAUUCCGUUAGAAAGUCAUUGUCCUUGUAAUGAUCAAAUUCAUGGGUCAUUCCAAUUAAAAGAGCUCGCUUUGGGCAUAAUCUCUUCACUGUCUCAAGAGUCUGCAUAUUUACCAUAACAUGUGAGAAUAGAAGAAUGAAAAUGUUUCAAGUUAAUUAAAUGAUGAGAAAUAAAAGACGAACCUGAGGGAGGCAAAAGUGUGUAUUAUGAGACCCAUUCUGUACAAGAGGUAGAAAGAAUGGUGAUUAUAUGACAUAAAUUCCUGGAAGAUACCAAUGAGUUAUAAUGCAAAAUGGCAACAUGAAAUCCACUAUGUUGUCCAGCGAUAUUGAUGUGAAUCCGCCUAUAAUAUUAAAGGAUGCAUUAAAAGUGCUAGUUGGACCAAUUACAAGAUCAAGAGUCAAGAAACUUGAGGAAACAUUCAAUGGGCUUAUUUAGAAUAUUUGAGCUAAGACAAGCUACAAGUGAUUAUCACACCUUAAUUUGAUCAAGGAAGGGGCUGAUCCAUGGGCAUAAAGUUUUCGGCAAAUUGGGCAGCAUAGGGAGAGGCAGCUACAAGUUUUUUCCUUAUUCUACAAGGACCAGUGGCAGCUUAGGAGUUCCAUGUUUACAAAGAAUCCUAAUUAUUUAAGGAUUCUUAGCUGGCAGCAACUUUACUUAUCUUCCUAGGUAAUAAAGCUGACAACUUGUCUUUGAUUUGCAAGACAAAGUAGACUACUUUUCCUUAAUUAUCAAGGACUACAACGUUGGUUUUUCAAGGAUAUACAAAAGUCACUAACUCAUUUUUUAGACACAUACGACAACCUUGUUUUUUAUUCAGACUUGGGUUUUUUUGUUUAGUUUUCAUACAUUGGGUUAUUUUUAAAUUAGGUUUAACGUCAGCCCAUUAGUCCAUUAAGAUUAAGUCUAUUUUGACACUAUAAAUACUCUUUUGUAAAGAUUACUAUUCAAAUGAGAUUAUUAUUGAUUUUGCUGUAACUUUUGUGUGCUUGUGCAAAGAUUAUUCAUACCUAUUGGCACUUCAUUGACGAGUCUCGAAUUUUUCAAAAAGAUCAACUGUCUUUGUGGUAUUCAUCUUUAUACUUACAAUUCACAAUUCCUUAAAAUCAUCGGGUUAGAGUCUUCAUUCCAAUAACUUCAAUGUCUUGGUUCAGGCAAUCAUUGCGUUGAGUUUCUGCUAUCCUUAAAUAUGAUUUUUAGUUUUCUUGAGUUGUUUUUCCAUGCAUGUGGAUUCAAGGGUUCUUACUCUCCGGGUUCGCAUAAAUUAAUAUCAGAGCAAGGCUCGAAAAUCAAAUUAUAUUUUUCUUUAAGUUUUUGCAUUUAAAUCAUAUUAAUAUUGAUUUUGCCGCAACUUUUGUGUGCUUAUGUGAGGAUUAUUCAUACCUAUUGGCUCUUCAUUGAAAAGUCUUGAAUAUAUCAAAACGAUCAACUAUCUUUGUGGCGUUCAUCCUUGUACUUACAAUUCACGAUUCCUUAAAAUCAUUAGGUUAGAGUCUUCAUUCUGAUAACUUCGAUAUCUUUAGUUCAAGUAAUCAUUGUGUUGAGUUUUUGCUAUCCUUAGAUAUAAUUUUUAGCUUUUUCCAUACAUGUGGGUUCAAGAGUUCUUACCCUCCGAGUUCGCAUAAGCUGGUAUCAGAGCAAGGCUCUAAAAUCAUAUUAUACCUUUCUUUAAGUUUUCGCUUUAGUUUUCAUUGUUUUCUUUACAUUUGAUUGUUGCAGCAUAGUAUAAAAAAGGGUUGAAAAUCGCAUAUUGUGAAAUCACCGCAAAGUAAAAGUUACAAAAGUUUGAAUUCAGGAUUUGAAAAAUAACAACACAAUCUUAUAUUUCUUGGAGUAUUGGAUAUCUAAGUUUUGAUAAUUGAUUUCAGGGUUAUUUGAACACACGUAGGUUCAAGUAAUUUUGAAUUGCAAAAUUGGUUUCUUUUACAUUGACCAAAAAACUUCUUUGUUUUGCUAUUGUUAGUUUCAGUCAAAUUAGUAGUCUAUUGAUAGUUUCAGUCAAAAAAAGAAGUGGCUAUUGAUUCUAAAGGUAAAUCUUAUACUCAAUCUACUGUUAACCAUGAUGUUAAGUGUUUUAAAUGUUUGGGAGUUAGACAUAUAGCUUCUUAUUGUCCAAACAAGAGAGUUAUGAUUUUACAAGAUUACAACGAGAUUGAGACCAAGACACACAACACUAAUGAUAAGAUGUCACCACUUGAGGAUGCUAGCGAUGAAAAUGUAAUUUAUCCAGUUAAGGAAGAAUCAUUGGUUAUUCGGCGUGCACUAAAUGUUCAGAUCAAGAAAGAUAAUUUGGACUAGUAAGGGAGAAUAUCUUCCAUACACGUCAUAUCAAUAACAAAGUAUGUAGUAUGAUUAUUAAUGGUGGAGUUGUUCUAAUGUUGCUAGUCUUAUAUUUGUUAGAAAAUUGAAUAUGAUCACUAUUAAACAUCAUAGACCAUAUAGGCUUUAAUGGUUGAAUGAAUGUGGAAAAGUUAAGGUUAAUAAACAGGUCUUGGUGUCUUUAGGAUUGGAAAAUAUAAUGAUGAGGUUUGAUGGCUUCUAUGCAUGCAAGUCACUUGUCAUUGGGGUGUUUGUGGCUAUUUGAUAGGAGAGCAAUGUAUGAUAGGUUUAGAAAUAGAUAUUCUUUUGUAAAAGAUGGAAAAUCCAUCACAUUUGUACUAUUGUCACUAAAACAAGUUUACGAAAACCAAUUGAAACUCAAUAGAGAAAGGGAAGCCAAAGGGAGUGAAAAUCAUGGAGAGGCAGUGAGCUUUGAGGAGAGAAAAAAGCAAAAUUCGGUCAAGAGAGAAUAAUAGUGAGCUAGUUGACAAUGGCGGGAAAAAAAAAAGAUAGUGUUGAGAAAAAAACAAAGAAGCAUGAGAGUUCUUAUGCAAGAAAGAGUUUUGUUAAAAAUGUUCUUUAUACUAACAAUCCUGUGCAAAAUUGUGGUGUUGUUUCUUUGUUGCAAAAUUAUGAUGUCUUGCCCAUAGAUAGUAUACCUAGUGGUUAUUAGGCUUGGGUGCAAAUGUACAAAGAGAGAUUUCCAGCCCAAUGGAGAUCUAAGUUAAAUCAAAAGGGAGAUGAUCUAUUCCAAAUUCUAGAAAGGAUCAACAACAAUACAUACAAAGUGGAUCUUCCAGGUGAGUGUCAGUGUUAUUUUCAAUGUUUUUUAUCUUUCUCCAUUUAAUAUAGGUGACAAUUUAAGGUCAAAUCUUUUUUAGGAGAAAAGGAAUGAUGCAAAUCAGCCUACAACAUCAAAGGUUCAGAUUGGAUUAUAAUUGAUUUUGCCACAACUUUUAUUUGCUUUUAUGUGCUUGUGUGAGGGUUGCUCAUACCUAUUGGUUCUUCAUUGAACUUAAACUAUCUUGAACUUAUCAAAGAUCAAUUAUUUUUUUGCGUUCUUCCUUGUGCUUCCAAUUCACAAUUACUUAUAAUCGUUGGGUUGGAGUGUUCAAUCCAAUAACUUUAUGUCUUGAUUCAAGUAAUUAUUGUGUCAAGUUUUUUUAUCCUUAAAUAUUAUUUUUAGCUUUCUUGUUGUUUGUGUAUAGGUUCAAUGGUUCUUACCCUUGGGUUCACAUUAGAUAUUAGAUAUGAAUGAAAUAUAUUGGCAUUACCAAAUUUGUAAAAAACAAAUUGCAUAUCAACCACAUUUAUUGAUGAAAGUCAAAUAGCAUGAACUAUAUUCCAAUCUCAAUCCAUAAUUUGAUUAUGAAUCUUUUUCCUUUUCUUUUUUUUUCCACGACCAUUUAGACUCGAACUAUACUACAAGAAGGAACAUUUCCCUUCCCUAAAUCCUUUCCUUAUAAGAAGAGCAAUGCAUAUUAUAACUAUUGACUACUGAAGCCAUUUCGAUCAAGUUUCAAAAUCAUAUGGUUUCCUUUUUCUGGUUCAUUGGAAGGAUAUUGGGCUUUGAGCUAUGCAGCUAGGAGGGACCAUUCCCUUCCCUACUAUCUCACAUAUGAGCAGGAUUUGAUCCCAAGUCACUUGAAACAGCACCAUGCCACUUUGAAUAUUAGAAACAAAUGCAACAAAAUGUGCGCAGUGUAAUUGCAUAUUUCACUCAAAAUCCUAAUUUGCCAAAACGGUCAGCCUUCCAACUUGGCAAUUGAUUGAGGUACAUUUCAGCCUCCAUUGAAUAUCUCAUACAAAGUUAAGCAAUAAGAUGGCAAGGCAACAAUGAUGACGUCUGUAAAUUGAAUGACAAAUUGAGACGGGCACAUAAUUGGAAUUCAGAGAAAACUAAGAGGACCAUUUUGCAAAUCACGCUCAUUACUUUCUAUGCUUUUACUUGACUUACUUUGUUGGAGAACACGCCAAAAAAGAAAACUAUAGCAAAUGACUUACUUUGUAAGACAACCAAAAGAGGAACACACUACAAUAUUUGUACAAGCCCAUGCACACAAAAUGCUUGUCAAAAUCACCAAAGGGUUCAUUUUGCCCACAUGAUAUGCAAAUUCUACCAAAAUUUGAUGAAAGAAUGUGGAUGUUUGUACCUCACUCUGAUACUAUCCAAUAUUCAUUGGAUUCAAAGAGGGAAUAUAAGAAAAUAGAAUAUAACGAAUUUUUGCAGCUAACCUUGUAUAAAGUGUCCAGGAUCAGAAUAUCCAAUUGCCCUGCACUAGCUUUUGAAAUUACUGCAAAAACCAAGAUGUCACUAUAUCAAAAACAUGAUAGCAAAGAUCCCCAGAAAACCAUCCUCUUUUUACACAUUCCACAGCCAUUGAAAAUCUCUCCACAUGACAAUGACUCAUCUCCAUUCGUGCACAGAAUUAAGGGACUCUUAACAUGUCUACACAGUGCAAAUAUAUGCUUCCAAAUAAAUUAUUACAAGAAAAGUGAACAAAACAAAACUAACCAUGCUCUGUGCUAGAUGGAAUGCGUGAAACAUCAGAUAUAUAAGCUACUCUACAUUUUUCACCAAAGAGAAACCCCAGAGAAAUAUAAUCUUCUCCAUGCAUCACCUACAUUACAGAACAAAGAUGACACAAGAAUAAGAAACAGGGCAGAGAGAUAGAGUAUUAGUAGUUGACACAUAUUUUAAGAAAGGUUCAGAUCUGGUAACUGGCAAAGGAACAAACUGUAUGCCUGAUGCAACAAAUGGUCUUUGAUGGUCUUCCUCAAUUAUAUGCCAGUCCAGCUGUGCUACUCGUCUUAUUUCUGGCCUGGCUUCAAUUGUUUCUGUACCAAGUAAGGGAAUUUCGCUGCAAUGCUGCUCAAAGACAAAACAUGCAGUGACAUCAAGUAAUGUUAAAAGUCGGAUUGAAGUAAAGUGCAAAGUACAAUAAUAAAUCAAACGAAUGGCACACCACAUAAAUAAGUUCUAUGAUCAGGAAGUCGCAUAAGACCUUGGUUUGUUGUAGAGUAUUCACUUCUACAGUUACAUUGCAUCAGUAUGACUCGACUGGCGGGAAAAUAGUUAUCUUUCCUCUUUUAAACCUUCAAAUCUUAUCAACUAUAGAAGUCUUAAUAGAUGUUCAAGUUACUUUCAUCAAAUAGACUUUCAAUACUAGUGUUGAUUAUCUCAAAACUCACAACGAAGGAACGAUGAGCAGACAAAAGCAUCAAAUGAUCAUUAAUUAUCAAACAUGCCCUGCCAAUGGGGAGAAAGUAGUAAAGGUGAUGGUGAUAAAAGCAAACCCAGAAAGAAGAGAUUAGUUACCUAUCCAUUGCAUGGUGACUUAGGUAGAUGGGAGUGGGAUCAAUGUCAUUUAUCGGGCUAUAUGGUUGCACAGCACGUAUAUCAUCAAGACCAAGAACUGCAUCAGCAUGUUCAUGAGUCAAAAUGAUCUGCAGUUGAUAAAAACAAAUCAGUCCAAGUGGCCUCAAAAUGAGAAAUAGUAUAUAUAUAGGAAAUCAUGAUCAUAAGCCUUACAGAAUCAAUACGAGGAAUGUUGUGGAGAGUAAACCACCUAAGGACUUGCUCCCUGAAUGUCUUGCCCACAUCUAUCAAUAUAUAGCUGUGUGCAUUAUCACUCUCACUGUAGUGAUCUAUAACGAGUGAAGUAUUGCAUCUGUAACCCACACCCAACAAAACACCAAACUCACCUUUAUUUUUAAUUAAUUAACUAAAUCCAUCAAUAUUACAUAAUUCCACAACGGACCAAUAUGAUAAAUCGAACCUGUAGUUAGGGUUUUGGUUGGGAGGGACGGAGAGGGCCUGAGAGCAAACGGAGCAAGGAGGAUCUGAGGGCUGGAGGAGGCACCUGACGUUGGGGACGGCGUCGAGCAUCCUGUCCCAAGGAAGAUUAGAGCCGAUCCGUUGUUACAAAUGUUGUUGACUCCAUUUUUCAGAUUUGAUUAGGGGUGCGUGGUGUGGGAACAAUGGAUUUGAGAAAAGAAUGGCUAACGAAGGAGAAUGGAAUAAAGCAAGGAAAUAAGAAAAGCACGCUCCUUUUCAAUAGGGAUACAUGAAAAACCGAAUGGAUGAUGCACAAGAAUGGAAGGUCUAGCUUGUAUACGACUUCCAUUAUCCUCUUAAUCACGAUGAAUUGACCAUAGUAUUUAGUUGCUAGCGUGUGGUAGUGUUGAAGCAUUGAUCUCUAUUUAUAAGGCUAUAACUCUAGGUAAACCGAAUUGCCGUCCUUCAGGACCCUAUCGCUUCUCUUUUUGUUAGCCAAUUGCCUCAUUUUGUUCUGGGAUUUGACUAAGUUUUGCCGGACCGUCUGCAGCAUUUGCUCCCUUGUAUUGAGGUAAUGAUCGACUACCUCAAUUGGUGAAUCUUUGGGGAAAUAUGGGAUGUGAUUGGGAGGUGAAAAACAUAAAGUAUUUCAUAGGGAAUAGAUUUGGUAGCAGUGUGAAAGUUUGUAUUGUACCACCAUCCACUCAAAGCCAGUCAAUUACACCAUUGUGAAGGAGCGUCCCUUGUUAUGCACUUGAGAUAGCGUUUUAUGCACUUGUUGACGACCUCAGUUUGCUCGUCAGAUUGAGGAUGAUAGGCAAUGAAGUAAUGAAGGUUGACCCCUUGUAAGACGAAUAGUUCCUUCCAGAACUGACUAAGGAAAAUGGCAUCUUGAUCGCUCACUAUGGUUGUUGGCAUUUCAUGUAAUUUGUAGACCAAAUCCAUAAAGGUCUUGACAAAUGUGUUAGUCAUAUAUGGGUGUGAAAGCGUAAUAAAAUAUGCAUACUUGCUAAACCUAUUCACCACUACGGAGAUAACUUCCUUGCCCUAAGGAGGCUAGUUAUGAAAUCCAUGCUGAUGUCUGUGAACGAUGUUGUUGGAACUGGUAGCAGCUGUAUAGCCUUGGACCGGCCACAUUUUUUGUUUUGCAUCGUUGAUAGGUUAGGCAUUCUCUUAUAAUAUAUUUUAUACUCUGUUUUUGUUGUUUUUUCUAGUAAAACAUGUUGGCAACCCUUGCUGUUGUGACUAUAAAACUUGAGUGUCCUCCCAAGGAUGUAUCAUGAUAAACAGUUAUGAGUUGAUGCUAGAGUGCUAGAUUGUUUCCCACCACAAGUUUUCCUUUCCUGAAUAAGUAACUAUCACUCCACUUAUAGGGCUAAGCGUUUUCGGUCCGGUCCGGUUUUGGAUCAAAAUAAACAACCAAACCGAUUUAUUUAUUUUUAGUUUUGGAAUCGAAUCGAACCGAAAACCGGUUCAAACCGAUUAGUUUCAGUUCGUUUUGGUUUUUUUCCCUUCCAAACCGGUUCAAACCGAAAUUAUUCCGAUUGAGUUUUUUCUAGGCUUUUUAUUGACCACCUUUUUCAGCACUUUUGUUUCUGUACUUGCUUCCAAAUCGGUAGCAUGUAAUUUACAAUCUAAAUCCCAAAAGACAAUAACGAGGACAGUCUGGAAAUGGAAAAAAACAUUGAGCCAGAACCGGAAGUGUUGCAGAAUUAAAUCUUAGACCAAAGAAAAGCUAAUCCUCCCUAUAAAAUGGCAGACAGUGACAAACAUUUGUGUCAUAAUUGAGCAUCACAAGUAUUACAGGUUGUUCAACUGAAUGUAACAGGGUGCAUAUAACUGUAUCUUGUACCUCUUUAUCAAGAACACAACUUAGCUCAAACAGAGCUCGAAUAUCAUAUUCCUUCAAUUGGAUCUAUGAUAUCCCAGAUUUGAGAGAUGAGAGGCAGAGAGCAUGGAGGAGAAUACAGAUUUGAGAGAUGAGAGAUAAGAGGCAGAGAGCAUGGAGAAGAAGGUAGAUUUGAGAGAUGAGAGGGCAGGGAGAGGGGGCGGCUGAGAAAGUAAGAAUGGUGAGAUAAGUUUAGGGUUAGAAAAUAUGCUAUUUAUACUCUUUUUUUCAAGAGAUAGCUUAGUUGAACCAGGCCGAGUCGGUUCAAUUCAAUUGGUUUCAGACUUUGAAAACUGAACCAAACCGAAAAUAUUUUGUGAUUUUCUAAUCGGUUUUUUUUCACGGUUCGGUUUUUUCGGUUAUUUUUUCCUGGUUUUCUCGGUUUAAUCAGUUUUUCAGUUUUUUUGCUCACCCCUAACUUAUAGUGAAGAUAUGUAGCUAGGUCUUUUAUUAAAUCUUGGAUAAUGGAUUAAUCUUGCUAUCCUCCUCUUAGGACUUCUUAAUAUCUACUAUUAAGGGGGUCGAUACUAUGAACAAUGCUAAAGCAUUAAGUUCACUGUUGGUUAUCCUAAAAAGAGCGUCAACUACAACAUUCUCUAUUCCCUUAUGAAAUUCAAUUUUGGAAUCAAAUCCCAAAAGUUUAUUUAGCCAUAAAUAUUGAGAGGGAGAAGAUAUUUCCUGAUUCAGUAGGUAUUUAAAGCUAACGUGGUCGGUUUCGAUCUUGAAGGACCUUCCCCAUAGAUAUUGUUUCCACUUGGUUACUGCCAGUAAGGUUGCCAACAUUUCCCUCUAAUGGAUGGAUAACACAUCAUGCCUUGCCCCUAAAACCUUGCUGAUGUAUGUUAUAAGAUGUCCCUCCUCCAUUGACACUGCCCCACUGCCUGAAUCUGAUGCAUUAGUCUCCACAAUAAAAUAUUUGCUUAUGUCCAAUAAGGAUAAGACUGGAGGAUUAAACAUCGCCUUCUUAAGAGCUUUAAAAGUUAAAGUUGCCUCCUAGUCCCAACCAACGACAUCCUUUUUAAGAAGUUUAGUUAGGGGACGAUAAAUAAUGCUAUGGCCUUUUGUAAAUUUUAUGUAGUAACACGUGAGCCUUAAGAAUCCUUGUAAUUGCUUGAUGUUUUGAGGUAGUGGCCAAUUUUUGAUAGCUUGUAGCUUCUCUGGAUAUGUAGCCACGUCCGUCUUAAAAAUAGCAUGGCCUAGGUACUUCACCUGUCAUCACCAAAAACACAUUUGUUCUCCUUUGCCUCCAACUUGUGUGUCCUGAGCAAUGCAAAAAUGACCUGUAGAUUUUCCAGGUGCUCUUUGUAGGACUGGCUGUAAAUUAAAAUAUCGUCAAAAACAUAAAAACAAACCUCCUCAAAUGAGCUCUAAAGACCUCAUUCAUUAGGCUUUGAAAAGUAAUGGGCGCAUUGAUGAGACCAAAGAGCAUUACUAAGAACUCCCAGUGACUAUUAUGUGUUCUGAAUGUUAUUUUGUGGACGUCUCUAGGGCUCUUCUGAAUUUGGUGGUACCUGAAGUGUAAAUCAAUUUUCAAGAACACUGAUACCCCUGUUAAUUCUUCUAGUAACUCUUCAAUCAAAGGUAUUGGGAAUUUGUUUUUUUAUCAUCAACUUAUUAAGGGCCCUAUAGUCAACACACAACCAUCAAGAGAGGUCUUUUUUCUUCACAAACAUGACAAGUGAUGCAAAAGGAUUAUGGCUUGGUUGGAUUGUGCCAGCACCUACCAUUUCGAAGAUCAAUCUAUCCACCGUAUCCUUCUAUAAACUAGAGUACUUGUAUGGCCGAAGGUUAAUAGGUUGAGCUCCCUCCUUCAAGUGAAUAAUGUGAUCUUCAGGUCUAUUAGGGGGUAACUAUGCCAAAGGGGGUGAACACAUUCUGGUAGAGGUGAAGUAGAUUAUGCAGGGCUUCCUUUUUUUUUUUUAUCAUUAAGAUUUUUCUCCAUUGUUAAUGUAUUUGCCACACUCGUUUCUUGAACUAGCAUCAAGCUGUAGAGAUCGAUACCUGCUAUAUUACUUCUGCUGCCCAGCAGAUUCAUCUAUCCAAACUGAACCGAUUGUAAUUUCACAGGUUCUUCUCCUCUUAGUGUUACUCUUUGUCCUUGUCAAUCGAAGCUCAUCCACAUAUCUUAUAAUUGCAUACAAUGUCUCCAAGGGUAGCAAACCAUUGAACAUCUAAGACUAUAUCGCAGGCAUCAAGUUCCAUCACAAAUACAUCGGCCACAAAAUGUAUUCCCUGCAUCUUCCACCUGAAAUAUUUAUAGAUUGAAGAGCACAAUAUUUUCCCCCAUUGGCACCCUUAACCAUUACUAAAUUGAUAGGAGUUAGUUUAUAUUGUAACUUGUUAGCAACCCAAGUAUUCAUGAAGUUGUGUAUGCUACCGGACUCUACUAGUAUAAAGAUAGGUAGCCUAACCACCCGUCUUGUCACUGUAAGGGUGUAACACCAUAAAACCCUUUCCAACACAUUCAUAAAAAUAUGUGGAUCAGUGACUUCUAAACCAUGCUUCUCCCUAACAAGCUCUAACUCACUGUUUUCGCCCCCCUCCUCCUCAUCUCUCAUUAAACAUAUGGAAUAAAACUUUUUUAUUCUGCAUUUGUGUCCCCAAGUGAAUUUGUCAUCACAUCAAAAACACAAACCCUUAGCUCUUCGUUCUUCCAUUUCUAUGUUUCUGAGAAUCUGGAUAGGUCUUUUAGUAAGCUGAGUAGCAAACUGAGUUUGAAGGGUAGGUAAUAAUCCAGGUAGUUUAGAGGGUUAUGAAGGUAGAUCAUGAAAGUUAUUAGAUUUGUAAAAAGGUUAUUAUUGGGGUGUCUGGUUAUUGCUAAAAGGUAUGGUCGAGUGUUCGAUUGGUUGUUUUUAGAAUUUCUUGUAGAGGUUAGUAUUUUCUUGUAAACAGAAUAGGUUAUAAGCUUGCUUAAAGGAUUUUGGUUCAAACAUAUUAACCAAAUUUUUUAUUUCUUUCUCAAGCCCACCUAAGAAAAAGAUCAAAGCGUACCUUUCAUCAAUUUCUGUUCGAUUCCAUAGAAUGUCGAAGUCUUUGAUGUAAGUCUCCAAGUUGCCUUCUUGUUUCAAAUCCUUUAACUCUUCUAAGGGGUCUUUAUGGCCACCAAACCUUCCACACAUGGCUUCCACAUAUUCCUUCCAUGACACUAACCUACCAUUAUUGCUACGUAUGAAAUUUUGAUGCUAAUACAGUACCAUACCAUCUAGAUUAUAGGAUGUUAACUUGAGUUUUUCAACUUCUUGGACCUCUUCUAUCUUAAAGUAUUGGAUGCAUUUAUACAACGAUUUGUGGAUGUCUUCCCUUUUAAAGGAUGGAAAAUCAUGCCUAGGCUUAUAGAACUUAUAAUGUCCACCAUACUGCCAAUCGCUCUUUAUGGCCAGUCCUUCCUGACUGUAGUGUGGUUGAUCACGGUUACAACUGGUCUUCCCUACAAGUAACUACAGUUACUGCAAUAAUGUUUUCUGCUAAAGGAAAAUGCAAAGAUGAGCUCUUUCAGCCUCAAGAGUCUAAUGUCGCUGACCAACUGUUGCUGUCAAUAUUGUUCCAGCAUUCUUGCCAUUUUAUCAUUCCACUAAGCUUAUUCUCUAUUAAAUGUUUCUAUUACCCCUUCUAAUUUCUUUUUUGAUUAAAUGUAAGUAUAUAUAAAGAUAAAAAAGAAACAGAGUCGAGAAGCCAGUAAGUCACAUAUACAAACAUGUAAAACCUAAGGGAACAUCUUCCUAAAAAAGCAAAUUAAGCUAACAUAUACAAAUUACAAUGCAAAGCUGAAGAGGGAAAUAAGAUCCCUUAACAUAAAAGUAUAAAUAAAAUUGGUUAACUAAGGAACCUAUAACUAGAACAAGUGCUGAAGUUAACCAACAAAAAAGCCAUGCAACGCCAAAAAAUCCAACCACAACAACAUAUUAAGAAGAAAAGAGAGGCUAGGCCAUUCCGAUGUAUACACUGGUCAGAGUCGACAUUCAGCGAUGUAUACACAUCUAAGAUUUUAUGCUCCCCUAGAAGCAUGGUGUCCAACUGCAAGAAAAAAAAAAAGAUGUCGAUGAUAUUCCUUAGCUUACCCACAAAACACACAGGAGAUGUCUAAUGGAAGGAAACAUAAUUUGUCCUUCCUUUCAAGCUUCUCUACAACCGCAAGCCAUAUAAUGAAAUUGUAUCACGGUAGAGACCAAGUUUCCCAUACUACACGGUCCUAGUUCACCUAAGUAGUAGGACUCUGAAGAUAUUCAUAAGCUUUAGCUGAGAAGCGAUGAACACCACUAGACCAACUCCUGAACAGAGUUACAAUUUCAUGUAUACUCUCACAACCAGAGUUUUAAAACCUGACCGACCCAGGCCUGGGACCAGUCCGAGUGGAAGUAAAAACCCGUUUGGAAGUUGGCCCCGUGAAACCUGGUCGACUCAGCGGGUCGACCCGGUCAAACCCGUCUGAGACCCGGUCUUUUUUUUUUAUAUCUACUAAUAGAUGUUAAACGACGAAGAACAAUGAAGUAGAAUUGGCAUAUUGAUCAUAGAGCAAACCUAAUUAACAAAAAGACCAAUUUCAAUCGCCGAGGAGUCAAGGAGAGCAGAAGACGUUAGAUCAUUGUUGUUUCAUUGCGAAAAAGGUUAGACUCUUGUUUCUGUUCAUGAAUCUCCUUCUUUCACUCUCUCUUUUCUUUAUUCUUGCUCGUGUUUUGAACUUGCAGUUCUAGCAUCGAUUCGUUGUUCCUUGAUUUAGUUGCAUUGAUUCAUUCGCAGCCCAGUCAUCUCAACCUCAGGUAUGUUUCUCUAUUCUUUUCUUUUCUACAACUUAAUAAAUGCUCUGCUAUUAGGAAGUGUAGAAAAUGGAUAAGCAAACUAGUUUUGUUCGAUGCACUAGUUUUAAUCGAUGUAUUUGCUUCUAGAACUAGCUAGGAUAAUCUAAAAUGUUGAUUGAGAAUAAAAAGCUAUUGAUAUUUCGGCUAGUAAUGUGAGUCAAUCCUCCAACUCUAAGGACCCAGUUUUGUUCUAAGAACUAUUAUAGCCAAAGAUUGAAACUGUUCUACGAAUUAUUAACAGCUAAAAAUAUUUCAGCUAGUAAUGUUUGUUUGGUUUUAUAGUUGACUGUAAAUUUAAGAAAACAUAAGUUGUAGAGAUUUUGAUAUACUAACCUGCAAGUUAUAGAGUGUGUUUGUUCGUUUGUUACGCUUUUGCUUCUGUAAAUUUUUGUUGAAGUUACUGUCAACUAUGGCAUCGAUUCUUCCCUAGAUUUUUAUUUAAACUGGUUGUGCUUAGUUAACUGUGUUUCAUGGAGCUACUAUAACAUCGAUUAGUUAGUUGAUGUUAUUAGCUUUUGCUAGAGUUACUGUGGCAUCAAACUUUCCUUUCCCAAUGCUUUCUCAUGUUGACUGCUGGUUGAUUUUCUACAUCUAGUUGCUUGUUAUUAGUUCAGGAUAAGAAAAUAGCUUUGACAAAAUUUACUGGGAAGCAUAAUCUUUUUUUAUUAUGUGUGAUUGAUGGGGCUGACAUUGUUAAUCUAAUUAAUGGAUUGCAAAGUGAUUUGGCUUGAAAUUAUAUUCCCUCUUAUAAAUUAUAUUAAGUCCUUAAAAUGUCUUCACAUGAUGGUAGUACUUCAAGUAGUGAUCCUUCAAUGCCCCAAUCAUCUCAACCUUUAAUUUCCAUGUCAAAUGGUAGUAGAGGAAGAACAGAUUUGGCAUGGGGUCAUUGUAAAGAAGCUCCUGAACUUAGUGUUGGGUUUAAAAAAAUAAAUUAGUUUGUUUAUAUUGUGCUAAAGUAUUUGCGGAUGGUGGCAUUAAUCAACUUAAGCAAUAUUUAGCUAGAGCUAAAGGAGAAGUUGAACAAUUUCGUAAAUAUCCUCCUGAUGUUCGACAUCAUAUGCUUUUGAAUCUUAAAGGAAAUGCUGGGGAAAAAAAAAGAGUUAGAGAAAUGCAAGCAGAUUUCAAUCCAUUAAAUGCACGACAAAAAGAUCAUGAAGAGAUGAUGAUUAGGCAAUUAGAAGAUGAUGAUGGUGAUGAUGAUAAGGAUGAUGAGGAUAUCAGUACUAAAAAGCAUAUGUUACCACUGAAGGUUGUAAAAGAGAAAAAGAUUCAAAGCACCAGCACUGUAAAAUAAUCGACUACAAGUUAUGGAAAAUAGAAGAAAUCUGCAACAUUAGGGACAUAUUUCAUGCCGAGAACAACUCUGGUGCUCAAAAGUCUCUUCAGAAUUGUUGGCAAAGAAAGGAAGCAGUUGAACAGUGUGAUCUUGCUUUAGCGAAGUGGAUGAUUGAUGCAUGUGUGCCAUUUAAUGUUGUUAACUCUGUGUAUUAUCAGCAUGCCAAAUGUUGUAACAGCCAUGGGUCAUGGUUAUAAAGGACCAAACUUGCAUGCUAUUCUGGUUAUUACUUGGCAAAAGCGGUUGAUGAAGUCAAGAUUUAUGUUGAGACUUAUCGAGAGAUUUGGAAGAAGACUGUUGCACAUUAAUGGCUGAUGGAUGGACAGAUCAGAAGAGGAGGACUUUAAUUAACUUCUUAGUAUAUUGUCCUAAAGGAACAGUUUUUUUGAAAACUGUGGAUGUAUCAGAUGUCUCAAAGACUACUAGAUUGUUGUAUCAGUUGUUUAGAGAGGUUGUUUUGUAUGUUGGGGUACAAAACAUUGUGCAUAUGGUGACUAAUAAUGCUGCAAAUUAUAUUGUUGCUGGCAAGUUAUUGAUGGAAGAAUUUCCUUCAAUAUUUUGGUCUAUUUGUGCUGCUCAUUGCAUCAACAUCAUACUCCAAGAUAUUGGUAAAUUGCAGUUAGUUUGUUGUGUUGUUGAGCAUGCUUCUGGUAUCACAAAGUACAUUUAUAAUCAUUAUUAUCCAUUGUAUUUGAUGAGGAAGUUCACUAGAGGAAAAGAAAUACUUUGUCCAGCUCCUACUCGUUUUGCUACUAAUUUCAUUGCAUUGCAAAGCAUUUUAGCUUAUAAAGAUGAGUUGAGAGCUAUGGUGAUAUCUAGGGAAUGGGUCUCAUCUGCUUAUGCUAAAGAUAAAAGGAAAAAAGUUUGUUGAGAGUGUGCUAGACUCUUUGUUUUGGGAAGAAUGUGCAAUAAUUGUGCGAAUGAGUGAGCCUUUAAUUUGAGUUCUACAAAUGGUUGAUGGUGAUGAUAGACCUUCGAUGGGAUAUUUAUGAUGCUAUUCAUCAUGCAAAAGAAGAAAUGAUGAGGAGAUUCAAAAGAGAAAGGCUAGAGUGAAACCUUUCAUAGACAUUAUCAAUAAUUGGUGGGAUGGACAACUUUAUAGAAAUCUUUAUGCAAUGGCAUUUUGGUUGAAUCCUCGAUUUCAAUAUGAUGCAAAUAUAAUGGAUAAACAUAUGAGCACUAUUUCUGAUGUUCUUAAGAAGUAUGCAUAUGGAAAUCUACCAUUGCAAAGUAAGAUUACAAGUGAGAUGAAGUUGUUUAGGAAUGCUGAACAUGACUUUGGUCGAGAAUCCGCAAUAAAUAAUCGCACCCUUAUGCCUCCAGGUAUAUAAUUUUUACAUUUAAAAAUAUUAUUUGCAUAGUCUUACACUCUUACUUAUUAUUGUUUUGUAUAGAUGAAUGGUGGAUGACAUAUGAACCAGCGCUCCAAAUCUACAACAUUGGCUAUACGAGUGUUAAGUCAAACUUGUAGUUCUUCGGGAUGUGAGAGAAAUUGGAGUAUGUUUGAACAUGUUCAUUCCAAGAAGAGAAAUAGAUUGGAGCACCAAAGGCUUAAUGACCUUGUUUACGUCCACUGCAAUCUAAGAUUGAAACAAAAGUAUUUUUCUUUUCUCUAAUUCCUUAAAUAUUAUUUUAUCUUGUUUAGUAGCAUUAUUAAUACUUAUAUUGUGUUUACCUUCACUUUUAAUAUAUAGGAAUUAUUGGAAAGAUGAAAUUAUGAUCCAAUUAAUGUUGAGACAAUUUGACAUUGAAAAUUGGGUAGUAGAAGAUGACCCAUCAAUCUUGACAACUGAAGAAGCAGAGAGUUUUCACCAAGCUCUAUCAACUAUGACCAUACAAGAUACUUUAGAUGAUGGUAAUUAAUGAUUGAUUAUUUAGUGAUAAAUAUUAUUUAAAAUAAAGUUUUGUUUAACAUAUAAUAUUUAUUUAUUAAUUGUGUUUGAAAUGUAGAUGUCAUAAAUGUUAAUGAUAUUGAAGAUGAUUGUGACGAUGAAGUUUCAAAGGAGCAUGUGAUGAUUUAUUAGGUGUUGACGAAUUGGCUCAUUCCAUCGACAUUGGAUCCAAAUUUUGCUCCUAUGACACAGAAGAACUUAAUGUGUUCAUUCAACAAAAUGAAUGUGUUGUUGAUUUAGAAUUUAUGUUGUUGGAUGUUUUGUUUUAAAUAUUUUAGAAUCAGAAUUUAUAUGGUUGGAUGUUUUGUUUUAAAUAUUUUAGAAUUUAUAUUUGGUUUGUGUUUUGGAUAUUGAAUUAAAUUUAUGUUGUUGGUUUAUAAUUUAAAUUUGUUUAUGUAAGUGUUGCAUUGUAACUAGUUAUGUUUUUUUUUAUAGGUUUUUUUUUUAGGUUGACCCGUCAACCCAUCUGACCCGUGACCCAAUCACUUGACCGGUCGGGUUUCAAAAUAUGCCCACAGCUCUUUACUUGCUGAUCUUUAAGAUAGAUAAUGAAUUUCCAUAAUAGGUAGAAGGACAUAUGGGCACACACGAUCCAUAUAGAGUAGGUAAGCAAAUAGUAAUGGUGAACCCAUUGAAUCCAAAUGGAAUCUGUCUUUAAAUGAAUAUUCCAGAGAUGUCUAGCAAGGAAGCUCUUGUUUCUGGCCUUUACAUCAAAUAUGCAAGCCCCCUUCUUUCUUUGGGUGGCAAACCUUGUUCCAAGCAACCAAAGCAAAUGUGCUUUUAGUAGUGUUACUUGUCCAUAAGAAAUUCCUACAGGUAGAGAUGAUUUGGUUGAAUGACAGUAGCUGGAAGGGGGAAGACAUUUAUCCAGAAUUGAACCAUACCAUAGAUUACAAUCUUCAAAAGCUCCAAUCGACCAGCAUAUAAGAGAUUUUUUACACCCAUCCACUUCUGAACUGCCGAGUCCAAUUUGAAUAAAAGAGAGAAAACUGACUUGCCAAUAACAUGUGAGGUCUAAGGGGACACCUAGAUAUAUGAAGGGGAAAGAUCCUUCUUUAAAUCCAGAAUCAUGAAGAAGAGCCAGCUUCAAGGUUGGAUUAAGUCCUCUGAAAUAUAUUAAAGAUUUUGCUGCAUUAAUAACCAAACCCGAGGUUUGCCCGAAAAUAUCUAGCUGACGAAGCAGAAUAGCAAUAGAAGAUUUAUCGGCUCGAGAUAGCAAGAGAACAUCAUCUGCAAAGGCGAGAUGACAGAUACCAAGAGCUUUACACUUUGGGUGAAAGUGAGAUACAAGAUUCCUGGUAGCUAGUUGAAGCAUCCAAGAAAAAUACUCCAUGCAGAUAAUGAAAAGAUAGGGAGAUAGAGGAUCACCUUGUCUCCCUCCGCACUUCCCAGGGAAAAAGCCAUAGAGAUUACCAUUUACAGCAAUUGAAAAGGAUGUGGUUUCCACACACUGUAUAAGCUAGAGCAUAAAACGAUUUGGAAAGUCUAGCAUCCGGAAAUCAAAGUCUUUCCAACCAUAUAUGUUAGCCCAAUAACUCGUCUAGAAAGAGAGAAUAACAUGUUUGAAAUCAAGUCUAAAACCUACUAGCAAACUAGCACUUAUCCCAUCAAUAUUUCUAUGUUGGGAUGAUAACAUGGUAGCUCAUUAAUAACAUGCAAAUGGUGUUAAAAAAAAGAGAGGGGGGGAUCGAGUUCAUAACAUAGAAGAAAGGGAAUAAGAGAUUUUAUUAUUUUUAUAAUUAUUGUUAUAAUCAUUUUCCUUUUCUAAAUUUGCAACAAGCUUAGUUUUUAAUUUUAAUAGGUUAGUACUUUUAGAUUUUAAAUUAUUAUAAGGAUUUAUGCUUAAAAUUAUUCUAUAUCUGAUUGUGAUACAUGCAUAUAUUAUAUUUUUUAUGAUUAUACUUGAUGAUUAAUGACUAAAAUUCUAUAUAAUGUACAACAUAUGUUUUUUUUUAAUCUACUGCUAGUGAUUAGUUUAUGAGAUAGUCUUUACUAAUUAAUUUAAGUAGUAAAAGUACCUAAUUUUCAAAGCUGUCUUUUAAUUUGUUACUUGUAAAACUUAAGUCAUAAUUAAAUUAACUCCCCAUGCAUUUUUAAUUAUUGUGAAUCAAUUGCACCAAUCUUGAUUUUAAUGUUAUCAUGUAAUUAAAUAAUGCAUACUUAAAAUACUUAAUGAAGGUUAUUAUGUGAUAAUGUUCAUUGAUGCACAUAUGUUAGAUUAACUAAAAAGUAAGGAUAGGUAGAAAAAUUGUUGUUUUCAUAGAUAAUUUAUUUAUGAUCACAAAUUAGAUUAAAAAACAUAUAUAUUCUUUUAGUUUUUCUCUUAUUAUUUAGAAUUUAUUUCUUUUGUUUCAUUAGAUUUCUAUGUUUUUUUAGUUAGUUUACAUAGUAGACAAAACUCUAAUUUUAAUUACUUUCAUAAUUAAUGUAUGUUUGAAUUUAAAAUCUAUAUUUUUACUUGAUAUGCUCUAAUUUAAAUUUAAAUAACGUGUUUUGAUUAAGUAAUUAAGUUCUAUUAUUUGUAUCUUUACGAGAAGAUACAUUUACUUUGUAUACUAUAAAUUAUUAAUUUUAAGGAUUUAAAUUUAUAUAACUUUCAAUACCUGUCUGUUUCUUUAGUGAUAGCCCAAUGGUUUUGAUUUAAUGGAACAAUGGAAUGUUAGAUGUUUAAAUAGAGGCACAUAAAUUAGGCUUUUUACCAUGUGCAACAAUUUGAUAGAAAAGUGAUAAGAUACAUAUGCAAUUUUCUAUUAAUCCAAAAACAAUAAAAUUAGGUUUUUUUAUAGACCUCCAUAUAGAUUAGUUUGUUUAUAUGUUAGGCUACUCUCAUUCCUAUAAAUAUUAAUAUGGAAUUAGUUUAUUUGUAGACCCGUAAUUAGCAAAUGAGACAAAUGAUCCAAUUUUUGUACUAGAAUUCACAAUUUAUGUCUUAGUAAAGCCUAGAUGAUGAAUGAUGGAGAUUGUCAAAUUGCUUCAUUGCUAGCAUACAUGGUAACUUAGGCCUUUUGUUUUUCUUAGAAUGGUCUCCUCCAGUCAUUUGCUAUGAUUUUUUCAAGUUAUUAGUAAUUUUAGAUGUUGUCUUUUAAGAUCUAUUUUAUUAUUCUUGAAUUUUAUUCCAUGCAAUUAAAUUGAAAAAUUUCCUCAAAAUAAUGAUAAACAAAAUAAAUAAAAAAUACUAUUAAGAUGAGAAAAAAAUUUGUCUUUAUCAAAAUAGAAAGAAUAUUACGGAAAACAAGUUUAAUUUGAUUGAACACAAUUUCCAAUCAUUUUUCUCCAAACAUAAAUAAUAUAACAUGAACACAUUUCUAUAGCAUUCUAAGUAAAAACAAAAUAUUCUAAAACUUUAAAAAAUGAACAAGUUUCGUGAUUUGUGAUUUUUCAUUGGAAAAAAAAUGAAAAACUAAAGAAAAUUAAAAAAGAAAAAAGAAAAUUAUUGUUUUUUGUUAUUGAAUAACCUCUAAAGUAAAUUUUGGUUAUUACAGAAAAACAAAAUAGACAAAAACAAUGAGAACAAACAAGGAGACGAAGAUGUAAUUGUGUUUGGUAAAGGUGUAAAAGACAAAGUGACUAUCUAUGUGUCAUGUUUGGUUGAUGGUGGACAAGAUAAGAUAAAAUAUAAAUAAAUCUAUUUUAUUCUUAAUAUGUAUUAUCAUAAAACUUACAUAUAUUUUUUAAAAUAGAUAUUAUUAUUAUUAUUGUUAUUAUUAUUAUUUAUUUUAUGUUGAUUUUUCAAAUAAAAAAUAGUAUUAUAACCUUCGUUAAAAAAUCUUUACUGACCUGGGACUUGAACCGAUUCUUAUUUUAAAAAAGCUAGAGAAAGGAUCGACCUGACCUAACUUAGUCAAUAGCCUAGGUUGAUUUGGAGUAAAACCCAACUAAAAAAUCUAUUGAAUUUUUUUUUUUUGUCAUAAUGAAAUCAUUUUUAUCCAUUUUUUUAAGAAGAGAUUAUUAGAUGUUAAUUUCAGUUGAUCCUCUCAACCUAUAACUUGGGCCUUACCCAAGUUAACUUCCUAGUAAGGUUAUAAAACAAUAGUAAUAAUAACUUAUAUCCUUUGAUACGAAUGAAUGAGCACCACCAAAUGAUCCAUUAGAUAUAUACUAAUUGGACCUAUUACACAGUCUGAAACUAAAGGCAUCCAAGAGGAAUUAAUUAGGCUGCUUCUAGAUAUUUAGAUUAACAACUUGUAAAUUUAUCAAACUAGAUUUUUGUGUACUAUUUAGGAUGUAUCUAAAGCUAUAAGAGGAAUUUUGCUAAGAUUCUAGUUAAGCAAAAAAACAUCUCAAGCCUUUUAUUUAUAUAUAUUAGAUCUAGUAAUUCAUCAAAAAGAGAGAACAAUAUGUUUACCAAAAAAGCAAUAAGUUGUUAUACUUGUUUGCUAUUUGUUUCAUUAUGAUUUGUUAACUUUUUAUUUAGCAAUGAUUUCUUUUCUAUAAAGAAAGCAUAGUUUGCAGUAAAUGAGAUUAUUUUGGCAAGGUUUUUCAUAUCAUCAACUUGUGUUUCUUUUUGUUUAUGGAUUUUCUCAUUAGCAAGGUUUUCUUAUCAUUCAAAGACAUUGGAGAAGGUUUUGAGCUUAUUUUUCCUAACAUAAUGUUAUAUCAGGAUGAAAGUUUACCAGAAAUUCCUAAAGGUCUUGUUUUAUAUAUGAUUACAAUUUUAGGUCAAUCGAACAUGAAGAAAGCCUUGCGAUAAGAUCUAAAAGCUAGUGUGAGAUAAUUGUAUUAGUUUCCUAGUUGAUUUAGAUUUUUAUUUUAUUUUAUUUAUAACUCUUAUUAUUUUUGCAGUAUUUUUUAGGAUCAUUUUUUUACCUUUUAUAAAUAUGUUUAUUUAGCUUGUAUUUAGGUUUUUUAAAAAUAUUAAUAAAAGAUGGAUUGAUUAUUUAGAAAUAAAACUUUUGUAUAAGAAUUCGCUCUUACUCUUAGUUCCUUAUGGAACUAUUUUAAAUUAUCAAAGAAUUAACAAAGUUUCAUGACAUAUUAUAAAUUUCUUGUUUGUGUAUUAAUUAUAAGUGUUGGGUGGUAUAAACCCUUGCGUAAAAGUAUGAUCACAGGUAGUAAGGUCCUUAUGAGUAAUGGAAGUUCAGGAUGAAAUGAAAUGGAUAAAUGAUGAAGAUAAUAUUAAUUUUGAUAUUUAAUAGGGAUGUUGACUUCCAUAAAUAAAUUUAAAGGUAUUGUUGAAAUUAAAAUGAGGAUUACAAAUUUUAGGUUAAAAUUUGUAACAUUAGUGAAACCAGUAAUGUGUUUCGAUGGAUAAAAUAAUAACAAGAUUAAGAAAACAAUCUCAAGGAAAUAGUAUGGUCAUAAAGAAUAAACUAUAAGAAAGUAAUACAUAAAGGAAAAUUAAUGUUGUGAGCACCGGUCAAAAAUUAGUAACAUCAAUGCGAAUUGGUAAAAGGUUUAUAAAUGAAAUAAAUAGUGAAAAGGCUAAAUAAAUAUAUUUUGUAAUAAAGAAAUGUUCUUAGGGAUUUAUUAGAAUAAUUGGUAUGAUUUAUAAAAGGAUCAAACAAGAAAAUUCAGAUUUUUAGCAUAAAAUCACCUACCAACUAGUUUUACACAAUCACAUAUAACUUUUAAUCAAAUUGAUGAAUCGAGCUGCAAUUUUACAUGAAGUCUAUUAACAUGUUUCCCAAUUUUAUGUUAACAUUUCAAGUCAAUAAAAGUUUUUUAAGGGCUCCUAAUUUAAACAAAAAACUAGGUAGUCUAUGUGAGAAAUUUAAACAUGCAUAAAUGAGUAACAAACUUGUAAAUAAAUUGAACAGUGCCACCCAUUUCCUCUUUAAAAAUCUGAUGAAGAGCUCAUUAAGAGUUUUCUCUUGUAAAAUUAAGUGAUUUUCUCUUAGGUUUUGUGAGAUUAAUGUGUGUUUAUGAUGAUUUUAGAGAGACAUUUUUAGAAUGAAUUUGAAGAUGAAAUCAAAACAAGAAAGUGUGGUAGAGAGAUAAAGCUUGGAACUACGUAGGAUAAAGCAAAAAUGAAAGAGAUGGCCAAGAAAAACACAUGAAACUUUUUACAAAUACCUUGGGUAAGUGGAGUUUCACAAUUGAUUCUUCUUGUGUUGAUGAUAUAUGGUGUCAUAACCUCUUUUUUAGUUAUUCUUCAAAUUCACCUUUUUCUUUCCAAAUAAAAAUAAAAUAAAAACUAACAUUUUAACAAAAGAAAGCUAGGAGGAUUUUACAUGUAGAAAAAAAAAUCAAGCUACAAUUUUGGAUGGAAUUAGAAGCUUAAUUGUACCCCUAUUUGACCCAAACUAGAGAGACAAUGCAAAUUCAAGGUCAAGUUACAUGAUUAUUGGACGAAUCUGCAUAAAAAUUAAGUCCAAGAACAUAAUUAGAUUUUUAAUAAACCAAUUUAAUUUAAUUAAGGGCCAAAUUAAAGUUUCAUUAUGUUUAAAAAUUAAUUUUGGUCUAAUUGAAGGAUUUAAUUAGGUGCAAUGACUUAAUUAUACUUUAAAUGGGUCAAAUUAAUUUUAUUAGGGUAAUUGGUGAAAAAUUAAGUUUAAUGGCCUAAUUUGGGCUUAAUUAAAAAGAUUGAAUUUUAGAAAACUAAAUUUAAUUUUUACCAAGUCAAUUGAUUCGAAUUAGGGGUAAAAUUGCAAGAAAAUCAAAGUUUUGGAGUCAAUUAAGGGCUAUAUUGAAGAAAUUCGCAGCCAACGACCAUUUUAAAAAGGCGUCGAACUCUAAGGACCUAAUUGGCUGAAAUCAUGGGUGAAAUCGAAUAGAUUUGAAAGUUUAUGGUCAAUUAGUUGUUAAAUUGAAGAAAUCCGAAACUAAUCACCAAAAUGAAAAAGACACUAAAAUUCGAGUAAAAUUGCACAAAAUUGAUAGUUUGAAACCAAUCAAUGGUGUAAUUGAGAGAAAUCACAAAUCAAAGGACUAAGAUGAACUUUACUAAAACAACAUCGUUUUGGGUUAUUGUUCAUCUUCUUCUUCAGAUUUUCACCGAAAAGCUGCUCAAGUGGCCUCCUUCCCAAGGCAUUUAAUGUUUCAUUUUUCCACAAAAUUUGGCAAAACUUGCACGCAAACGACGACUUGACAUCUGACUAUACCGUAAAACAGUCCUUUUUGGUCGAUUGACGCCACAACGACUGUUGUAACCCAUUUUUGGGUCCCCAUAAAAAAAUAAUAAAUACAAAAAAAAAAAAAAACAAAACAAAACGGUGUCGUUUUGAAACGGCACCAUCGUCUUCUUCCCCUGGAUGCGCAGAGAACAGGGGAGAAGAAUCGUUUUUUUCUUCUCUUUUUGCCUACUUUCUUUCCCGGCUUUGGCGCAAUAAGACGCCCACAAUUCACCCACUUGCCUGGCGUUGUUAUCCGUUGAAGGUAGUGGAGGGGGCGGCCAACAGUAGCCGCCCCAACACGUUCUCCCUCCCCUGUUUUCCUAUAAAUAUAGGGGAGGGCUGCUGAAAGGAAAAAAAAAAAGACCAAGAAAGGGGGGGACCGAGAGAGAGGGAACAGAAGGGAGAAGAGAGGGAGAAGAGGGAGAAGAGAAGGGAGAACACAGAAGAAGAAGAAGAAGAAGAAGCAGCAGAGGAGAAAAUAAAGAAAACAGAGGAGAGAGAGAAGGAAAACGCAGAUCCACCGCCGGCCACCCCACUGUCAGCGCCGCUUCCUGUCCCCACCAGCAGCUCCGCCAUCGACGACAGCCACCACAGGUCAGCCCUCAACACCUUAUCUUGUUUUACUGUUCAUCUUCUUGCAUGCAGAACGUGCACUGUGCACGUUCUGCAAGCCAUGAAUUAAUUACCCGGUUACUGUGCAUGUGCACAGUAACUUGGCUAAUUAAUUCACGGGCCCCGGUUACUAUGCACGCUGAUUAAUUCUCUGGUUACUGUGCACACAGUAACCCGGUUACUAUGUACACAGUAACCAGCCCAUGCAUUUUGGCCAUGUUCGGCCCAGCCCAUGUAAAAGGGCCAGGUUUGGCCCAACCCAUGCAAUUGAGCCUGAUCCGGCCCAUAAAAAAAAGAAAAAAAAGAAAAAAUAUUAUUGUUUUAAAAAAUAUUUAUGAUGUUCCCAUUUUUUAUUUAUGUUAUUUUUAUUAAUAUCGGGUAGUAUUUUUAUGUCGUAAAAAUACAAAUCGGGUAUUAAAAUACCCGGUUUUUUUGUCACAAAUUUUCAAAAAUACAAAAAAAUUAAAAAAAAAACAUUUUUGUGCAUACGACCAAGUGUCUCAAAUCUAAAAUAUCAUAUCGUAUUUUUUAUAUGUCAAAAAAAAAUAUUUUAGCAUGCAUUUUGGCUUUAAUAACCAGUUUAUUAAAGUCAAGAGAACAUUGGCCAAAAUCUCAAAAACAACAAAAUAUUUUAUUUUGUUUGAUUUUAGUAUCAAGGAUUAUGAAUUUAUACGUAAAUCGUAUUCCUGAUAUUAAAAAGAUAUUUUCUUUUGAAGGCUUCGAAUAGUUAGUUUUUUACCCGAUAAAGAUAAGGAUCUCCUUACAGGAGGACUUUUCUUAAACCGUAAACGAACCAACAAUUCAAAAACCACAACACGAUUUUAGAUUUUAUCAGACAUUAAAACAAUGCAGCCUACCUUAGGUAGGGCGUAGUUGGGGUGCUAAUACCUUCCCUUUACGCAACCAGUCUCCGUACCCGAUCUCUAAAGACCAGUUAAGGUUCCUAGUAACCAGAAUACUAGGUGGCGACUCCCAGUCCAUAUUUUCACUUGUAGAGACAAGAAUUCCUUGUCUCUCCGCAUUUUUUCCAGGAAUAAAUUAUUCCGAUUUUUCCUUGAGGGUGGACGAUCGCCGCGCCGCCGCACACGUGCGACAACGACUAUGACACAACCCCAAAGUGGCCAACCCGACCAACCUUUUCUUGCAACAAAUCUGACAACCCAUGAUAGCCGCAUUCAACCAAUGUUUGUGAUCUUUUCGAGUCAAUUAGGGGCCAAGAUUUGGUACCAUUAAAGAUAAAAUAUCCCUCUUCCACCCCUUAUAAAUAUGGGUGGAUUUCAUGGCUUGUGGGAGAAUAAAAUCAGGUUCAUAGUCGAUAAAAAAUCAGACCCCCCCUCGUUUUGCUUCCACUGUGAUCUUCUAUCUUUUUCCCCUCUCUCCAUUGUGAUCUUCAACCACCAACACUCUCACAACGGUUUGUCCACCACCAUCUCCACCACAAGCGACCAGUCGACCACCUCACGUUAGGAGUGGCCACCGCAAAGUUCUUUCUCCUGUGCAAGCUUCUUCUUCCUUAUCUAACAACCAACCACAAUCAUCAAUUCUCUAUCAACAUUGUCACCAACCUCACGUCAGCCAACCAGACCACCAACAAUGCUCCCUAGCCCAAGUAUAGUUAGGAGUCCUAAUACAAUCCAACAUCUACAGUGUCAGAAGCACCGGUACCAACCCCUGCAAUUGUAGAGGCAUUUAUCAAUGAGUCUCACAAGACCCAAGUCAUCUAAUGACAUUGAUCAAGAUAACGUGGCAGCGCUGGAAGCUAUAAUCAGGGCUAUUGAAAGGAUAAACUUGUAUGACCCAAUAUAAGUUGCAGAGAUGUGUCGUUCCAAAUAUGGUGGUGUCAAAGAAAUUUCAUGUUCCUAAAUUUAUUAAAUACACUAGAAUACAAUGUCUCAUGACUGAUUUCAAGAUAGUUUGAGUGGAGCAACAGUGAACUGGUAUGUGAGAUUAGACAACACCAAGAUCCAUAGAUGGAAAGAUCAAGUGAAUGCUUUUGUCAAGCAGUACAAGUACAACAUUAAUAUCACUCCCAAUAGAACCAACUUAUCCAACCCGAAAAAAAAAAAAAGGAUAAAAAAAGCAUAAGGUAAUAUGCCUAGAGAUUGAGAGAUCUAGUUGCACAAGUGCAUCCCUCAUAGUUUGUUAGAGAAAUAGUCACUCUAUUUGCCAAAACAUUCAAGGCACCGCACUACAAGAAUGUGAUGGGUAGUUUAAGCUAGCAAUUCAACGACGUUGUGGCAAUAGUUGAAUGCAUCGAACAAUAAGUCCUGACUAUUGGCCCAACAAACUAGAUUAGGCUGGGCUUGAGCUUUAGGCCGAAUAGACCCAACCCAUGUAGUUUAGCCAAGCCCAACCCAAACAUUAAGGCGAGUUUGGCUCAUGCUAAAUUUGUUAAAGAAAUAAAGCUUUGUUUUGGUCUUUAAGGCGUGUUUGCCAAACAUUGCCUUAAAACAUUUUUAAUGCCUCUAAUUUUAGGCUAAGGUCACGUUUGGAAAACACACCCUAAGCCUUUUCCUUUCAAUUUUAAAUUUGUUCUUAUUUUAGAGUCUCACUAAUCAAGCCUUUAAAAAUUUCAAAACAUUCUAAGAAAAUUCAACAUCUUAAAAAUAUUUGUGGGCCUCUCGCAUGUUUUUUUAACAAAUUUAUUUAAUAUUGAGUUAUAGACUUACACCGUAAGGUAUGAAUUCAAUAUUAAAAAUACUUGUUUUUCCUAAAAAAAAUGAAAAAAUCCUAAAUAUUUUUUUUAAAAUUUCUUAUUCCAAAAAUCUCGAAAAUAAGUUUUUUUCACCAUAAUUUUAUUUAAUAUUAGGUUGUAGACUUACAUAUAAAAUACAAACUCAGUAUUAAAAUACCUGAUUCUUCUCUAAAAUUUUAAAAUUUCAAAAGAUUGAAAAACACAGAAAUUGUGUUUUGUUUUCAUGUAUACAAUCGAAUUCUAGAGGUUUCAUGCAUAUUUUCUAGAAAAAUAUAAAUUGUAACUAGUUUAUGAUUGUCGCUUUAACCAAAAUACCAAAAAUCCUUCAACAAUUAUUAUUUUUAAUUAAUAUAAAAUGUUAGGAAUUAGUUGUUAAAAUUACAUUAUACAAUACCUUAGGUGUUAAAAAUACAAAAUAAAAAAUAAGUAUUAUGCUAAAAUUAAAGCCUUAGAACGAUUAAAAUUUAACUCGAUAAGGUAUAGACUUCCUCACGAAGGGAGAUCUGC
rnacentral:lncRNA from 1 species